GAUGAACGCUGGCGGCGUGCCUAAUACAUGCAAGUCGAGCGAACAGACGAGGAGCUUGCUCCUCUGACGUUAGCGGCGGACGGGUGAGUAACACGUGGAUAACCUACCUAUAAGACUGGGAUAGCUUCGGGAAACCGGAGCUAAUACCGGAUAAUAUAUUGAACCGCAUGGUUCAAUAGUGAAAGACGAUUUUGCUGUCACUUAUAGAUGGAUCCGCGCCGCAUUAGCUAGUUGGUAAGGUAACGGCUUACCAAGGCGACGAUGCGUAGCCGACCUGAGAGGGUGAUCGGCCACACUGGAACUGAGACACGGUCCAGACUCCUACGGGAGGCAGCAGUAGGGAAUCUUCCGCAAUGGGCGAAAGCCUGACGGAGCAACGCCGCGUGAGUGAUGAAGGUCUUCGGAUCGUAAAACUCUGUUAUUAGGGAAGAACAAAUGUGUAAGUAACUAUGCACGUCUUGACGGUACCUAAUCAGAAAGCCACGGCUAACUACGUG
rnacentral:rRNA from 1 species